AGAUUGAACGCUAGCGGGAUGCUUUACACAUGCAAGUCGAACGGCAGCGCGGACUUCGGUCUGGCGGCGAGUGGCGAACGGGUGAGUAAUAUAUCGGAACGUGCCCAGUAGCGGGGGAUAACUACGCGAAAGCGUGGCUAAUACCGCAUACGCCCUACGGGGGAAAGGGGGGAUCGCAAGACCUCUCACUAUUGGAGCGGCCGAUAUCAGAUUAGCUAGUUGGUGAGGUAAAGGCUCACCAAGGCGACGAUCUGUAGCUGGUUUGAGAGGACGACCAGCCACACUGGGACUGAGACACGGCCCAGACUCCUACGGGAGGCAGCAGUGGGGAAUUUGGACAAGUGGGGGAAACCUGAUCCAGCCAUCCCGCGUGUGCGAUGAAGG
rnacentral:rRNA from 1 species